rnacentral:rRNA from 1 species
UUUUUAUAAAAUUAAUUGAAACUUGAAAAUUUUAAUUAAAAACUAGGAUUAGAUACCCUAUUAUUUAAAAUGUAAAAUUUUACUAAAGUAGUAUUAGUUAUGUUCUUGAAAUUUAAAAAAUUUGGCGGUAUUUUAGUCUAUUUAGAGGAAUCUGUUCUAUAAUUGAUAUUCCACAUUGGACCUUACUUAAAUUUGUUUUCAGUUUAUAUACCGUCGUUAUAAGAAUAUUUUAUAAGAAAAAUAAUUUUCUAAUAUUUUUAUUAAAUUUUAUAUCAGAUCAAGGUGUAAUUUAUGUUUAAGUAGAAAUGGAUUACAAUAAAAAUAUUUUUGGAUUUAAAAUUGAAAUAUUUUAAUGAAAUAGGAUUUAAUAGUAAAAUUAUAAAGAUUAAUAAUUUGAUUUUAGCUCUAAAAUAUGUACAUAUCGCCCGUCGCUCUUAAUAUUAAGUUAAGAUAAGUCGUAACAUAGUAGAUGUACCGGAAGGUGUAUCUAGAAUGAC